UCGCAGGAGCUUAGCUGGCCCCAUCAAGCUUUUUAGCAAAUGCAGCUGUGCUUAAAUUGCUUGUUUAGUUAACCCUACAUGUGCUGCUCAGAGAAAUAUAGUCCUAUCAGUCAAGUCUGAGUUGUGGCAAAUGGUUUGCUUUGAAGUCAUUGUGUGUAAGAUGACUAGGCCUUGUCAUUUGUGAGGAGGGAUUAGUCAUGCCAUGUUUAUUGGAGAGUGUGCAUCAGCCUUCUCGACUGCUGCGUUUUAGGGAUUUUUGCUUCAGAGGUGUUUUUGCCAAACACUGAUGCUGUAAGAGAACAACAUGAGAGAACUUCUGCAUCGAGCCAGCUCUACAACUAUUACACGAUGUGACCACAGGGUGCUUCAGUUCGGGAGUGCCCAUCCAGAAACACUGCUAGUUACGAAGAGUAGCACUGCAUCCAGGGUUGUAGGUUGCUGCUCCUCUGCACAGAGCGUCCAUGUGCGAUUGAUGGAUGGUGUUUGCUUAAUCCUCAUUUAAACUGAGAGGGGAAACUUCGAGAGAUUUCAGUCCUGGCUGAUUUGGCGACACCUGUAUUUGCUGGCGGUGAAUGCAGUUUAAUACUACAGGUCACAUAAUUCUGGGGACA